UUUUUGUCAGGCUGCAUAAUGUGAUUAUAUUGAAAAUAUCUUACAUAUUUCCUCAACCAAGACUAUGGUUCACCAUCCUCAAAAUAUGGAAACCCAAUUUUAUGAUGAAAUACAGUCAUUUGAUUAUAUCUCGCUACAGAUACACCAUUAGGGUUCCUAUCAGGAUUCCCCCAUUUCUCCUCGAGCCACGAGCUUGCAUAUGGGAUGAAGCUUCCAAAAUUUUAUCUCUGGUUGUACCCAGUUGCUUUCUCUACCUUCUGAGCCACAACUGAAACAUGUGAAGAAAACUGAGAUUUCGCUUUCUUAGUACUUUCCUCCAUAGCUUUUGAUCUUGUCUAUUUAAUGGUCAUUAGGGCCAGGAUGAGCUUUGAUACCACAUUUCAAUGGACUUCAUAAUACAAUUUAAAAUUAUGGAUAAAUUGGGAUUUUAUUAUCAAUCAAUCUUUCACAAUUACACUUCAAUUGAGAAAAUACAAUUAACUAAAUUAUUAUUCCUAGCCAGUACGCCAUUGAUAAAACUUCAAGCUUCCAUGAUUCCUGUAACAGAGAAUUAGAGUUGAGGAAGAAGAGAUUUGAGUAAAGGGAGAAAUAUUUUGAGAUUCAAAUGUUAUCACUAACUGUCUAAUUGAAUAAUCCCAAUUCUUGUAGAGAUAUUUGUUGAGAGAGC
rnacentral:lncRNA from 1 species